AUGCCCAGUGAUUAUAAAAAAGACGCGUUAUUCUGAGGAAUCCAACCUGCUGUCAGUCUGUCCUCUGCUCUCUGUUCCGUCUCCAUCUCCUCUCAUCUGCCUCUACCUCCUCAUCCUCUCCUCCUCCACCUCUUCCUCGCUUUGGCAGCAGGUCCGCUGACUGCGAUUAUGAGAUAUGAGGGCAU
ensembl:snoRNA SNORD97 small nucleolar RNA, C/D box 97